UACGGAGGGGGCUAGCGUUGUUCGGAAUUACUGGGCGUAAAGCGUACGUAGGCGGCUUUGUAAGUUAGAGGUGAAAGCCCAGAGCUCAACUCUGGAAUUGCCUUUAAGACUGCAUCGCUUGAAUCGUGGAGAGGUUAGUGGAAUUCCGAGUGUAGAGGUGAAAUUCGUAGAUAUUCGGAAGAACACCAGUGGCGAAGGCGACUAACUGGACACGUAUUGACGCUGAGGUACGAAAGCGUGGGGAGCAAACAGGA
rnacentral:rRNA from 1 species